GCUGCACAACUUGUAGUAAUAAGUCAGAAGUUAAAAGGAAAAGGCAAGU
rnacentral:snRNA from 1 species